rnacentral:rRNA from 1 species
CAAGGUUUCCGUAGUGAACUGCGGAAGGAUCAUUA